rnacentral:rRNA from 1 species
AUCCUGGCUCAGACUGAACCGCUGGCCGGCAGGGCCUAACACAUGCAAGUCGAAAAAGUAGCACAGAGAGCUUGCUCUCGGGUGACGAGUGGCGGACGGGUGAGUAAUGUCUGGGAAACUGCCCGAUGGAGGGGGGAUAACUACUGGAAACGGUAGCUAAUACCGCAUAAUGUCGCAAGACCAAAGAGGGGGACCUUCGGGCCUCUUGCCAUCGGAUGUGCCCAGAUGGGAUUAGCUUGUAGGUGAGGUAACGGCUCACCUAGGCGACGAUCCCUAGCUGGUCUGCCCAGCGAUGACCAGCCACACUGGAACUGAGACACGGUCCAGACUCCUACGGGAGGCAGCAGUGGGAAUAUUGCACAAUGGCGCAAGCCUGAUGCAGCCAUGCCGCGUGUAUGAAGAAGGCUCGGGUUGUAAAGUACUUCA